AGCCGAAACGGGCGGAUGGCCCGUCCGCCGGAACCGCCCCACCGGUGCUGAUGAUGGCAGGGCAUG
rnacentral:hammerhead_ribozyme from 1 species